GACGAACGCUGGCGGCGUGCUUAAUACAUGCAAGUCGAACGGACAGGUCCUUCGGGGUACUCGAGUGCCGUACGGGUGAGUAACACGUGGGUGCUUUGCCCUGCACUUUGGGAUAAUCCUGGGAAACUGGGUCUAAUACCCAAUAGGACCACGCGCUACUUGGUCUGUGGGUGAAAUCUUUCGCGGUGUGUGAUGGGCCCGCGGUCUAUCAGCCUGUUGGUGGAGUAAUGGUCUACCAAGGAGGCGACUGGUAGCCGACCUGUGAGGGUGACCAGGCACACUGGGCCUGAGGAACGGCCCAGACUGGAACGGGAGGCAGCGGUGGGAAAUAUUGCGCAAUAGGCGCAAGCGUGAUGCAGCGACGCCGCGUGAGGAAUGACGGCUUUCGGGUUGUAAACCUAUGUCAAUGGAAACGAGGCGGAAGUGACGGUACCUAUAGAGGAAGCACCGGCUAACUACGUG
rnacentral:rRNA from 1 species